GUCCAUAGCUUUCACUAGCCUCCUAAAUGGGGUUGAUGAUGCUAAAAAGUUGAAAGCCAGUACUUUAGAGUUGAAAAGUUGGAUUCAAUGAUGGGAAUAGAUUGAUUGCUUCCAAAAGGUUUCUCUUAAUAUGUCUGAAUAGUAAUUGCUGUGCUUCUUUGUGUAGUAAAAUUCUUAAUGUGGCCUGAUAGCUGUACAGAACAUUUGAGAUUGGGACUGAAAAUCUUAGACAUAUGUUCCUUGGUAGCCAUUAGAUUAUCUAAUUGCCAUUAGUGUUAAGGUGAGCAUAAAGCAAAUUAUUAACUGCAUGGCCCUAAGAAAGUCACCUUAUCUCAUGAGAUCUGUUACCUCAUUUAUAAGACAUUUUUAAAAGGAGGAAUGUGACCUUGAAGAUUUCCAAAACUCCUAGUUUGGAUUCUCUAGAAAAGUGAGAUCAAUGCUGGACUUGGAUGGAGCCCUUUUGUGGCAGAAAUGAACCAGGCUUUGCACAGAAGGAAAAAGACAGAGUGUGCAAAUGAGGAAGAGGCCCGGAGGAUCCAAGAAGCCUCUUCCUCCAUAAAUGGGAAACACAAGCCUGCUGUGGCAAAGAGCCAGUGUAAUCAGGGCAGGAUGAGGGCUACUGGGACACUUUUUAACAUCCAGGACUCUGAGGGAACAGAGACUCAACCUUUACUUUUCACCCUGGGACUGACUUGCCAGAACACAAGUUGUCCCUCAGUGAGUGAAUACACCAUCUUCCCUGCACUAAGAACUUCUGAUUCUCAUAGGAGAAAAUGCUUUGGGUCUUCUCACUUCCCACAUCAGCUGGCUUGGCUGUCUCUGGAAAAUGCUGCACUCCAAAUGGCUGAAGGCACAAGUAAGUCCUAGGGUGAAGCUGUUUGGAGGGGUAAGAGAACCGCUUAUCUGUACUUUAGGAUAUAUUGGAAUCCCACCCCACACCAAUAACUUUCAGCAUAAAAAAUUUUAAACCACUAUUGAUACAUUAUUAUAAACUAUUUUUUACAUCAGAGUUGAGUAUUUGUGUCAUUGUGGUUUAAAUUUUCAAUUUCCUAAAUGAAUAGUGAUGUGGAGCAUCUUUUCUUAUGCUUAUUUGCCAUUCACAUAUUUUCUUGGGUGAAAUGUCUGAUCAAAUCUGUUGCCAUGCCCCUUUGUAAAAUUGAGUUUGAGUUCUAUAAAAAUAUUCUAGAUACAAGCCCUUUAUCAAGUAUAUCAUAUGCAAAUAUUUUCUCCCAACAUAUGGCUUGUCUUUAAUUAACAGUGUAUUUUAAGGAGCAGAAAUUUUUAAUUUUUAUAAAGUCCAGUCUAUCAAUUUGUUCUUUUAUGGAUUGCAUUUUUGGUGCAGUAUUUUAAAAAAUCUUUGCCUAACUGAAGAUCACAAAGGCUUUCUUUUGUUUUCUUCUAGAAGUUUUGGUGUGUUUGUUUGUUUGUUUGUUUGUUUUUUUGAGAUGGAGUUUCACUCUUGUUGCCCAGGCUGGAGUGCAAUGGUGCGAUCUCAGCUCACUGCUACCUCCACCUCCUAGGUUCAAGCGAUUCUCUUGCCUCAGCCUCCUGAAUAUCUGGGAUUACAGAGACUGAAAAACUUGGCUCCUUGGUUUAGAAGCAGUUCUGGCUGAAACUUAGUUCUUUGGAAAUACACAAG
rnacentral:lncRNA from 1 species